UACGUAGGGCGCAAGCGUUGUCCGGAAUUAUUGGGCGUAAAGAGCUCGUAGGCGGCCUGUCACGUCGGAUGUGAAAGCCCGGGGCUUAACUCCGGGUCUGCAUUCGAUACGGGCUAGCUAGAGUGUGGUAGGGGAGAUCGGAAUUCCUGGUGUAGCGGUGAAAUGCGCAGAUAUCAGGAGGAACACCGGUGGCGAAGGCGGAUCUCUGGGCCAUUACUGACGCUGAGGAGCGAAAGCGUGGGGAGCGAACAGG
rnacentral:rRNA from 1 species